AGCGAACGCUGGCGGCAGGCCUAACACAUGCAAGUCGAACGGAUCCUUCGGGAUUAGUGGCGGACGGGUGAGUAACACGUGGGAACGUGCCCUUUGGUUCGGAACAACUCAGGGAAACUUGAGCUAAUACCGGAUGUGCCCUUCGGGGGAAAGAUUUAUCGCCAUUGGAGCGGCCCGCGUCCGAUUAGCUAGUUGGUGAGGUAAAGGCUCACCAAGGCGACGAUCAGUAGCUGGUCUGAGAGGAUGAUCAGCCACAUUGGGACUGAGACACGGCCCAAACUCCUACGGGAGGCAGCAGUGGGGAAUCUUGCGCAAUGGGCGAAAGCCUGACGCAGCCAUGCCGCGUGAAUGAUGAAGGUCUUAGGAUUGUAAAAUUCUUUCACCGGGGACGAUAAUGACGGUACCCGGAGAAGAAGCCCCGGCUAACUUCGUGCCAGCCGCCGCUGUAAGAC
rnacentral:rRNA from 1 species